rnacentral:tRNA from 1 species
ACCCGACUGGCGCAAUGGUAGCGCGUCAGACUUCUAAUUCACUGGUUUUGGAUCUGCUAUCUGAAGGCUGUGGGUUCGACCCCCACGUUGGGUU